rnacentral:rRNA from 1 species
GAUUAGAUACCCUGGUAGUCCACGCCCUAAACGAUGCGAACUGGAUGUUGGUCUCAACUCGGAGAUCAGUGUCGAAGCUAACGCGUUAAGUUCGCCGCCUGGGGAGUACGGUCGCAAGACUGAAACUCAAAGGAAUUGACGGGGGCCCGCACAAGCGGUGGAGUAUGUGGUUUAAUUCGAUGCAACGCGAAGAACCUUACCUGGCCUUGACAUGUCUGGAAUCCUGCAGAGAUGCGGGAGUGCCUUCGGGAAUCAGAACACAGGUGCUGCAUGGCUGUCGUCAGCUCGUGUCGUGAGAUGUUGGGUUAAGUCCCGCAACGAGCGCAACCCUUGUCCUUAGUUGCCAGCGAGUAAUGUCGGGAACUCUAAGGAGACUGCCGGUGACAAACCGGAGGAAGGUGGGGAUGACGUCAAGUCCUCAUGGCCCUUACGGCCAGGGCUACACACGUACUACAAUGGUCGGUACAGAGGGUUGCAAUGCCGCGAGGUGGAGCCAAUCCCAGAAAGCCGAUCCCAGUCCGGAUCGAAGUUUGCAACUCGACUUCGUGAAGUCGGAAUCGCUAGUAAUCGCGGAUCAGCUAUGCCGCGGUGAAUACGUUCCCGGGCCUUGUACACACCGCCCGUCACACCAUGGGAGUGAGUUGCUCCAGA